CAAAGCUUCAAUGCAGAAAUCACGGCUGCACAAAAGUACAUGAAAUGGGGAGGUCACAUCAUAUUAGUGAUCAGCUGUCAUAAUCAGAAGAGGCCAGAGCUCCAUUUGAUUGAUCCAUUCAGACAGCAUUCAUUGAAUAUUGGAGGAACAGGACUCAGAUACAGCCUUCCAGAAGCUCACUUUCCUGCAGAGAAAAAAAUGGGAACACA
rnacentral:lncRNA from 1 species